ACAAGCAGAUUGCUCAGCCUGGACAGAAGGCUGCUGAAGGUGACCAGACAAUAAUCGAGUAUUCUGGGCUGCGCCUAGGUGAUGGGACAAGUCGGCAGGAAAGGACCGGGAUGGACGGUCACCCACCGGAAACAGCGAUGGCGUUAAAAGCCUGAACGUGUCAAGAGGACAUGAUGCUCCUCAAAAGUAUUUGCUCUUCUUCUCUGUUAAGGCACCAGGAAAGCGAGCUCCGGAACUCUGGGACUGUCCCUGGAGCUACCGGAAAGGCCACAGUCACAGCCUGCGCGGCCCGGGCCUGGACUCCAGUGCCGCGGGAGCAGCACCACAGCAGAGGGUCGGUGUCCCUCGGGCGAGCAGACACCGGGAGGGAGACCGAGGAGGCCAGGAGGCCGAGGUGGCCCAGUCCUCCAGCGGCUGAAGUGGGCAAACCGAGGCCAGGCCGGAGGGCCUCGGGUCACCACGUCAAGGCCACCCAGCCAAGGACGGGUCAGCGGCGGCCGAUCCCCACUCCGCCCUGGCCGUGAAGCCGUGGCCCUGCGCUGGGCGGGGAGGGAAGUACUUGCGACCGUGGCCCUGACCCUGCAGAACGACCGGGCCACGGGGUGGCCAGCCCUUGCCCACAGCCGUGCCCCACGGGGAUGAGGCCACAGCUCCGGGUCAGGCUUAAGUAAAGGACGGGUGGGGGGAUGCGGGCAGCCCUGUGGGGAACCCUCCCCCCGUGCCGCCUGUCCCCUCCCCAGGACCCCAUCCCUUGCUCCCCCUCGGGGUCGGCACCCACCCCUCGCCCGGCAGACAGGAACCCCGCUGCCCGGCUUCAGCGCCUGCUCAAGCCAAGGGACCCCCUUCACUUCACAAGGAGGGAGAGUUGCUGAGGAAGGACCUUGGGGUCUGCUCGGUGCAAACCCUGCCGCUGGCUCUGUCCCUGCGAAGGCUCGUCCCGCGUGGGGAGGGCACCCCAGCUGUCACGUGCCUGUUUGACCAGAGGCACCCGGCAGGGGCGACCCAGCGAUUUCCACGAUGAGCCUAAUUGAAUAUUCUUUCUGUCCCCAAACCGAUUUGCUGAGGGGUUUCUGUUCCUUCAUGAUGGAGCUGGAGCCGGAGUCUGCAAACCUGCCCCUCAAGGCUGGGGGCUCGAGGUGCGCCGUGGGACGCGGUUGGGGGGCCGCCCGGACGCAGCUGGAAGCUUCUGUGCCCAAGUGCAGAGCAGCUUCACCUCCCUGCUGCGUGUCCUGUUCCCCGGGGACGUCUGCGGAGAGGGCUGUGCAGGGGAGGCAGGGACGGCCACCUGCAUUGCGGGGACACGGUGGACAGAGGCAGAGCCGUGCCCGGUGCGUCUCGAAUCCAGCUCCUGGCCCCGUGUGGGGGCUCCGGUAAGGCUUUAGAGAGAACAUUCGGAGUGAGCGGUGGGGCCGGAGGCAGGCCACGGACUGGACCCGAAAGUCCAGGAAGAGCUUUGGAAGGUCAACAGUUUUUGAUGAAUAUUUGUGAAAUUGGGUUACCCCAAACUCUGAAAGUCGGAUGGAUCAACACCGUGACGCAGAGUCAUUUUUAGGGAUUUUGCUCUCUCCCAGCGGCAGCACAGUUCGUCUGCUGGCCUUUCACCGAUAAAGGCUUAUUUUCACGCCUGAGACAAUUUCGUCAGUGAGGGAAGGCAUCUGCAGGACGGUCCCCUGCCGCGCCAUCUGAAUCCCGCUCAGCGACCAGCGCGGUGAAGCUCAGGGGGGCUCAGUCGGAGACUCUCGGAAGAUUGGGGUCGUUGGUUCCCAGAAGCUGCCUGCAGAUACACGGGGCCCGACCCCCAGGACGUUCUUCAUCCUCGCCGUCCCCUGUCCCGACGCUUUGGCAGCAGUGACACCGGCCCCAGCCUGUGUGUCGGGACAUCCCCGGCACGGGAGGAGGGCACCCCACCUGCCUACUUCCUUGCCACCCACGCCCCUGCUCUGCUCCCACUGCCGGGCGGCUCCUCUCGGUCCCGGUGCCGCUCUGCCCAGGAGCUGGGGCUGGGGGCACGCGGGUGGGAAGACGGCAGGCCUGCGUACACGCGGCUCAUCCUGCCUUCCACACGCCCUGCCGGUGCCAGGCCCGGGCCACGGUCCUCUCUCUUCCAGCUGAAUCGGGGUCUGCCGCCCCCACGUUGGUCCUGCAACUGGUCAGAAAACAACAAAUGCGCCCUUUGCUGGGCUUCUCCAAAGCCUAUUUUUUAUUUUGGAAAAGUCGUGCACAAACCUUUUCCUCUGGCUUUUCCUGUCUCCAGCUCUGCGCGGCAGCUCCCCUCCAGGCAUACGGACACCCGAUGGUGCCAGCCGCCAAGGGCUCGGUCGCCUGGCAGCAGGGCGUGUCAGAGGAGGCAGCGGGCUCUGCUGGGCGCAGGCUGCGUGCCCGGAACUAAGAACCCUCGGUGACCUUAGGAACAACACGUUACAAACCCAGCAGUGUGGCGCAGAGCGAGGACGGAGGGUCCCACACGGGGCCCCGGAGGACCUGGAGGCUGCCUGGCACCUGUGCGCAUAGACACCCGGCGGAUGGAGACACCGCCCCCUGCCCUGGGCUUGGCCAGGCACACCAGGGUCCCCACCCCAGCUACGAUGGGCCAGACGAGCAGGGGCAUCGGCCUGGGGGGCCCGGAGCACCGCCUGGCCGGGUCUGGGUGAUGACCCCCGCCGGUCGCCGGGCCUGAGGCUGUGACUCGAGGUCCUGCUGUGGCUGCGGCCGCGUCCCGGAGGCCCUGCCUGGAUGCCCUGCUGGCCUGGCAGACGGCACAAAGGGCAAACCCGAGUAUGGGGAGGAGGUUACAGUCGCUGUGAGAGGAAGACAGGGCCCUACGGAAGGGGUUUCAGCAGGGCCAGGCUGCGGGGGGGCUGGGGGGGCCGCGUAAGCAGCCUGGAUUGCGAGCGUCCGCAGGUGGCUUCCUGACUCCCUGACCCUGCAGCUGCGGGUCACACCCAGGGUGCCCGCUGGGGAGUGGAGCCGGGUCACCAAGGAGUCCAGACACGCUCGACUU